rnacentral:rRNA from 1 species
UACGUAGGGGGCAAGCGUUGUCCGGAUUUAUUGGGCGUAAAGAGCUCGUAGGCGGCUUGGCAAGUCGGGUGUGAAAACUUCAGGCUCAACCUGGAGCGGCCACUCGAUACUGCUAUGGCUUGAGUCCGGUAGGGGACCACGGAAUUCCUGGUGUAGCGGUGAAAUGCGCAGAUAUCAGGAGGAACACCAGUGGCGAAGGCGGUGGUCUGGGCCGGAACUGACGCUGAGGAGCGAAAGCGUGGGGAGCGAACAGG